rnacentral:rRNA from 1 species
GACGAACGCUGGCGGCGUGCCUAAUACAUGCAAGUCGAACGCAGGGGGGAAGGGUGAGUAACACGUGGGUAACCUCCCAUAAGAGGGGAUAACACUUGGAAAAAGGUGCUAAACCGAUACUGAUGGAUGGACCAGGGGUGAAUUAGCUAGUUGGUGAGGUAACGGCUCACCAAGGCAACGAUGCAUAGCCGUGCUGAUAGGGUGACCGGCCACACUGGAACUGAGACACGGCCCAGACUCCUACGGGAGGCAGCAGUAGGGAAGCUUCCGCAAUGGGCUCAAGUCUGACGCAGCCACGCCGCGUGUGUGAAGAAGGUUUUCUGGUUGUAAAACUCUGUUGUCAGAGAGGCGUUAUCUAACCAGAAAGCCACGGCUAACUACGUGCCAGCAGCCGCGGUAAUUC